UACGUAGGUGGCAAGCGUUGUCCGGAAUUAUUGGGCGUAAAGCGCGCGCAGGUGGUUUCUUAAGUCUGAUGUGAAAGCCCACGGCUCAACCGUGGAGGGUCAUUGGAAACUGGGGAACUUGAGUGCAGAAGAGGAAAGUGGAAUUCCAAGUGUAGCGGUGAAAUGCGUAGAGAUUUGGAGGAACACCAGUGGCGAAGGCGACUUUCUGGUCUGUAACUGACACUGAGGUGCGAAAGCGUGGGGAGCGAACAGG
rnacentral:rRNA from 1 species